CGCCUACAACAUAGCGUUAAUGCAUCGAAUCCCAUUAGAACUCCACAUUUAAGCAUGCUCAGGCUAGAGUAGUACUAAGAUGGGUGACCGCCUGGGAAGUCCUAGUUUUUUACAUGC
rnacentral:rRNA from 1 species